CCUACGGGAGGCAGCAGUAGGGAAUAUUGCUCAAUGGGGGAAACCCUGAAGCAGCAACGCCGCGUGGAGGAUGAAGGUUUUCGGAUUGUAAACUCCUUUUGUUAGAGAAGAUAAUGACGGUAUCUAACGAAUAAGCACCGGCUAACUCCGUGCCAGCAGCCGCGGUAAUACGGAGGGUGCAAGCGUUACUCGGAAUCACUGGGCGUAAAGAGCGCGUAGGCGGGAUAGCAAGUCAGAUGUGAAAUCCUAUGGCUUAACCAUAGAAAUGCAUUUGAAACUGGUAUUCUAGAGGAUGGGAGAGGGAAGGGGAAAUUCUGGGGGAGGGGUAAAAAUCGGAGAG
rnacentral:rRNA from 1 species